rnacentral:lncRNA from 1 species
GUUUUGAUGAUCACACAUAAUAGCAAGCUAUCUUUCAAUUCAGCUUAACAUGUUAUAUUUACUCUGUUAUAGCCUGCCAUAUUACUUGUCUAAUCCGAUUCUGCAGGAAACAGAGAUAUAGCAAGCUAUUGUCAUAUCUUAGCUUGACAUGUUUAAGUUAUAGUAUUUUAGCCUGCUGUUUGUCUUUCUAACCUUGUGUUGCA